rnacentral:lncRNA from 1 species
CAGAAAUGCAGAAGAACCAGAGUUGAAUAUCUGCCUAUUCUUUAUCUGAGCUUUUCAUGAGCAUGAGCAGGCUUUGGUCCACUCCAGUAAACUCAAGCCAGUGCAGUGAUUUACACAUCUCCUUCACUAAUUCUGUCUCUGGGUGAAAUUGUUUAGUCUCUUAAAUUCCAACUUCCUCCUUCUUAGGAAGAAUUUACCCUGCCCAUUCCUUGGUGGGAGUCACUGGUGGUGACCCAUAUUGUCCACCUGCACCAGCUGUGACCAGGAGCCUUUUGCUGGAGCCUGCUGGUUGGUUAUACGUGGGGCUGGCCUUCCCACUGUCAUCUGUCAUUCUUUCUCUACUUUGUCAAACUCAUCCGAUCCUUGAUUGGCAUGUAUGUCCAACAAGCUGAGAGAGGCUGGGAAAGACAGAAUUCCCCCUGCCCCAGCCCAACCACUUGCUCCUCCAGAGACUUUCUGCUCGGUAGCUUUCUCCCAGAGUCUAAAGGAUUUCUGAGAUUCCUCUGUGCUGUGGCAUGUUGCCCCACCAAAAGAUUUCAGCACAAGGGAAGAAUCUGGUCUUUCUGGCUCCUUGGACUGAAGGCCUCUUGAGAAGCUUCUCCCACUCCCUGAAACACUUCUCACCACAGGGCGUUCAAUAAACAGGAAUGGUCAAACAAGGCGUCUGACCACAUUAAAGGAGGAAGCAGCCUUGGAAAGAAAGACAUCAGUGCAUGCCUUUGUUAGCAGGAAAAACAGAAAAUUAAUGUCAGGCUUGUCACACAUAACUCGCAAUGCUUCUUAUUCUGCUGUAUCAAGAGAUUGCCAUACAGAGCAACAACUGGCUCAUUUUCACUGGGCCACAUGUAAAUAAUGCAAGACAACUCUGAGGACAGAGCUCUGGAUGAGCUCUCCACCGCCACCUCUUCCAUUCCCCUGUGCCUGUCACACUUCUCUGCCCACAUGGCCUUCCAAGUGAAUUUGGUAUAAGAUUUCCCUCCAUUUUGUCUUUGAGGGCAAAAUGAGAUUUGAGGUCAUUUUCCC